rnacentral:lncRNA from 1 species
UGAUGAAUGAUGAAUGAAUUAUUUAUGUGGCUUAUGAAUUUGAAAUAUCUGAGAUACGAGGUUCCCUGGAUUAAGUGUCGUGGCUUGCCACCACGUGUACCAGGUUGAAAACUCGAUACUCUGUUGACCCUACGACGUAAGUGUGACCGGGCACUAUAUAAAUUCCUGGAAAUGAUACCCCCAUUGAGUAAUAUUGAUUAUUUGAGAAAAAGCUAUGCAUAGACUCUUGGGGAUGCACGUCGGGGGACGGUCUAAGGACAAUUCAGACUUGUCGGGUUGGCUGGAUAACCGACAGAUGAGCCUCAUCAGCCAUAGGACAGGCAUGCAUCAUAUGCAUUUGUAUGCUUUGCUUGGGUUUGAACUUGUUUUGGUUUGCCUAAUUGCUAAACUGUUCUUA